GAGCUCACUUCAGCAGCACAUAUAUUAAAACUAGAAUGAUAUGGAGAUUAGCAAGGCCCUUAUGUAAAGAUAACUUGUAAACUGGUGAAACAUUCCAUAUUUUA